GUGCUUACUUCAGCCGCCCACGUAUUACAAUUGGAACAAUGCUGAGCAGAUUAGCAUGGUCCCUAUGUUAGGAUGACUUGCAAAUUUGUGAAGUGUUUUUUUUUUUA
ensembl:snRNA U6 U6 spliceosomal RNA